rnacentral:misc_RNA from 1 species
AUUUGUUUAUGAAGUAUCUCUAUUUAUGUACAUAGGUGCAGCUUGCAAUACGGUAGCAGUUGAGGACAAGCAAUUUUAAUAUGGCUGAUAACUAAGGGGAGCAAAAGAGUACAUUACAUAAUUUAUGUUUCCUAUUCAACAACCAUCACUUGCAGGCUCGAUUGAACUUAGAAGACCAUUGCCUCUCAGCUGCAUGCAGUGAUCUUCUGCGUCCACUUGAGCGCAGAUAAUUACCACUGCCAUCCCAUUGUAAUGUGCCUCCUGCAUUAUGUUGACUGCAUUGUCAAGGGUCAUUCCAGGGAUCACCUUCAUCAGAACUUGCACAACGUAUUCGCGCUUGUUGUAAUUGUCGUUAUGUAGCAACACUCGAUAAGGCGGAGCAGUUUUCCUUGAUUUCCUAACAUCAAACUCAGAUUCACGGCCAGGUGUUGUCUUCUCUAUUGUUGGCUUUUCCAACAACCCCCCACCUCUUCCCAGCUCAGCAACUGAUAACAUCAUUAAGAUGCUCCGGUUUCUACAUUGUUUAUGAAAAUAGUAUUUAUCCCCUGGCUUGGUUGGGUUGAAGAAAUGGUUGGGAGAAAGAGGUAGUCGACCGCAAAUUGCA